UAAUUGACCCUCGAUCACCAAAACCCCCAAAAUCAGAAACCCUAGCUCCCUCAUCCUCGACGUUGGUCGCCGCCGUCCGGAUCCCAAACAACGGCGCCGCUCUUUCCCAAACAACAGCGUCGUUCUCUUGAUUUCUUUCUUUUCUCACGGCGGACAACCUCCACAUCUUUCUCGAGGGCGACAACAGUAACGCCGCCCAGCCGGAGGAUCACCUCGCCGCGGCGGCAGCAGUAACGCUGCCUUCAUCCUCCAUCAACCGGCUGAGAAGAACCCACUGGCGCCGCCGUCUCUCUUUCUACCAAACAACAUCGGCCAAAAAGCAAAACUCACCGCCACCGCCGUUUAU
rnacentral:lncRNA from 1 species